rnacentral:rRNA from 1 species
AUUGAACGCUGGCGGCAUGCCUUACACAUGCAAGUCGAACGGCAGCACGGGUGCUUGCACCUGGUGGCGAGUGGCGAACGGGUGAGUAAUACAUCGGAACAUGUCCUGUAGUGGGGGAUAGCCCGGCGAAAGCCGGAUUAAUACCGCAUACGAUCUACGGAUGAAAGCGGGGGACCUUCGGGCCUCGCGCUAUAGGGUUGGCCGAUGGCUGAUUAGCUAGUUGGUGGGGUAAAGGCCUACCAAGGCGACGAUCAGUAGCUGGUCUGAGAGGACGACCAGCCACACUGGGACUGAGACACGGCCCAGACUCCUACGGGAGGCAGCAGUGGGGAAUUUUGGACAAUGGGCGAAAGCCUGAUCCAGCAAUGCCGCGUGUGUGAAGAAGGCCUUCGGGUUGUAAAGCACUUUUGUCCGGAAAGAAAUCCUUGGUUCUAAUAUAGCCGGGGGAUGACGGUACCGGAAGAAUAAGCACCGGCUAACUACGUGCCAGCAGCCGCGGUAAUACGUAGGGUGCGAGCGUUAAUCGGAAUUACUGGGCGUAAAGCGUGCGCAGGCGGUUUGCUAAGACCGAUGUGAAAUCCCCGGGCUCAACCUGGGAACUGCAUUGGUGACUGGCAGGCUAGAGUAUGGCAGAGGGGGGUAGAAUUCCACGUGUAGCAGUGAAAUGCGUAGAGAUGUGGAGGAAUACCGAUGGCGAA